GGGGGAAGGGCCAUAGCUCAGUGGUAGAUCAUCUGUCUUCCAUGCAGAAGGUCCCAGGUUCAACCCUUGGUACCUCCA